UACGUAGGUGGCAAGCGUUGUCCGGAUUUACUGGGCGUAAAGAGCGCGCAGGCGGUCAGAUAAGUCGAAUGUGAAAGCCCCCGGCUCAACUGGGGAGGGUCAUUCGAUACUGUUCGACUCGAAGGCAGGAGAGGGAAGUGGAAUUCCCGGUGUAGUGGUGAAAUGCGUAGAUAUCGGGAGGAACGCCAGUGGCGAAGGCGACUUCCUGGCCUGUUCUUGACGCUGAGGCGCGAAAGCUAGGGGAGCAAACGGG
rnacentral:rRNA from 1 species